AACGAACGCUGGCGGCAUGCCUAACACAUGCAAGUCGAACGAAGCCUUCGGGCUUAGUGGCGCACGGGUGCGUAACGCGUGGGAAUCUGCCCUUGGUUCGGAAUAACAGUUAGAAAUGACUGCUAAUACCGGAUGAUGUCUUCGGACCAAAGAUUUAUCGCCCAAGGAUGAGCCCGCGUAGGAUUAGGUAGUUGGUGGGGUAAUGGCCCACCAAGCCGACGAUCCUUAGCUGGUCCGAGAGGAUGAUCAGCCACACUGGGACUGAGACACGGCCCAGACUCCUACGGGAGGCAGCAGUGGGGAAUAUUGGACAAUGGGCGAAAGCCUGAUCCAGCAAUGCCGCGUGAGUGAUGAAGGCCUUAGGGUUGUAAAGCUCUUUUACCAGGGAUGAUAAUGACAGUACCUGGAGAAUAAGCUCCGGCUAACUCCGUGCCAGCCGCCGCAGUAAGAC
rnacentral:rRNA from 1 species